rnacentral:rRNA from 1 species
UAGUGAUCCGGUGGUUCUGAAUGGAAGGGCCAUCGCUCAACGGAUAAAAGGUACUCCGGGGAUAACAGGCUGAUACCGCCCAAGAGUUCAUAUCGACGGCGGUGUUUGGCACCUCGAUGUCGGCUCAUCACAUCCUGGGGCUGAAGUAGGUCCCAAGGGUAUGGCUGUUCGCCAUUUAAAGUGGUACGCGAGCUGGGUUUAGAACGUCGUGAGACAGUUCGGUCCCUAUCUGCCGUGGGCGCUGGAGAACUGAGGGGGGCUGCUCCUAGUACGAGAGGACCGGAGUGGACGCAUCACUGGUGUUCGGGUUGUCAUGCCAAUGGCACUGCCCGGUAGCUAAAUGCGGAAGAGAUAAGUGCUGAAAGCAUCUAAGCACGAAACUUGCCCCGAGAUGAGUUCUCCCUGACUCCUUGAGAGUCCUGAAGGAACGUUGAAGACGACGACGUUGAUAGGCCGGGUGUGUAAGCGCAGCGAUGCGUUGAGCUAACCGGUACUAAUGAACCGUGAGGCUUAACCUU